CACGUAUUUAGCCGUCGCUUCUUCUGCAGGUACCGUCACUUGCUUCUUCCCUGCUGAAAGCACUUUACAGCCCGAAAGCCUUCUUCGUGCACACAGAAUUGCUGGAUCAGGGUUGCCCCCAUUGUCCAAUAUUCCCCACUGCUGCCUCCGUAGGAGUAAGGGCCGUAUCUCAGUCCCCUUGUGGCCGUUCACCCUCUCAGGCCGGCUACCUAUCGUCGCCUUGGUGAGCCGUUACCUCACCAACAAGCUAAUAGGACGCAAAGCUCUCCUGCAGCAUCGCUUUUCAUUGCCUGGCACAUGCGUGCCGGCAACCGUAUCAGGUGUUGUCAGUCGUUUCGUCUGUUAUCCUGUCUGCAGGGCAAGUUCUUACGCGCUACUCACCGUCCGCCUUGGCUAGCCUGCGCAAGCGCAGAUUCGCCAAAGACUUGCAUGUGUUAAGCAUUCUGUCAGCCGUUCAUCCUGACGUCCGAGGUACUAACCG
rnacentral:rRNA from 1 species